GAUGAAGAACGCAGCGAAAUGCGAUAAGUAAUGUGAAUUGCAGAAUUCAGUGAAUCAUCGAAUCUUUGAACGCACCUUGCGCUCCUUGGUAUUCCAAGGAGCAUGCCUGUUUGAGUAUCAUUAAAUUAUCAACUGUGCCAAUUUGGUUACAGAUUGGAUGUGGGAGAUUCUUUUUGCAGGCCUUUGACUUCUCUUUGAGAAAAAAAAUAAAAGGUCGGCUCUCCUGAAAUGUAUUAGCAGUGCCUUUGUUGGUUCAUUACGUGUGAUAAAUUGUCUACAUCUUCGCAUGAUACCUGCAUUUGUAAAGGUCAUAUUGCUUCUAAAUUGUCUUUGAUUGGACGCAAAACAUAUAUAAUGUUUGACAAACUUGAUCUCAAAUCAGGCAGGACUACCCGCUGAACUUAAGCAUAUCAAUAAGCGGAGGA
rnacentral:misc_RNA from 1 species